AACCAUUGUGCUGUAUGUGAAAGAAGCCCAAAGAAGUCUCCAGUAAUGCACUCUUACCAGUGUGGCCGUGUGGGUAAUGGCACCAUAAGAAGCUUCUUUAUGGUCAUCAAGCUGAAGUCUUUUCGUUUGACAUUCUCAGCCGUGAAAAUCAGCCAUAAACGUACAGUGAGAUGGGUCUUGGAAUUCAUACUGCAUAAGAAUUGCUUUGUUCAUGAAAACCAUUGCCAUAGACAGGACUCAAUAGGGAAAGGCUGCAGCUAAGAUGCAAAAACAUAUAUACAGGGAAAUGGUCAGAACUUCCAAGAAACUUGGAUCUACAAUCUCGUAUAAAUCAGUUGCUGUAUACAAAAAAUCGAAAGAAAAAUGCUCUUGAAAAUGUCUACUCCAACAUUAGGUCCUGAAUUACAAAUGUGUUGAACCAUUAUUAUUUUCUAAACUACUCGUGGCCCUAGUAAUAAAGAAGAUGGGCCUCAAGAUUUUACUGAGAUUAAUACAAACUUAGAAGCCCUGGGAAAAGAAAAAAAUCUAGUACUCCAAUAACCAAACAAGAAUAAUACAGACUCAGAGUGCAUUUGAUUUACUAAGGCUAAUCCCAGUGGGAGUUUCAUAGAGGUUUCAUGCACAUUAAAUACGGUGACACAUCAGCAUAUGUGAUGACAUGGCAUGGUAGUUAUGAAGUAAGAGAGGGAAGGAGUUUCAUCAGGAUGAAACUGUGUAUACACUGUUUCCAAGACUAUGAAACCUAUUGAAACUUGCAUUGGGGGCUAUAGAGUUUCAUCUCAUCUAACCAUAUCCAAUCACAUGCCUCACAAUUAAAUGUCAUAGGCAUCCUAUGAAAUCGUGAAAUGAAACUGUGCACUGGGACUCCCUAUUUCAUUCAUGAGAAUACAUCUCAAAUGAUGAUGUGGCAUCCUUGGAAACAGUGCAAUGAAACCUUGCACUGGGACUAGCCUAAGAUGCAGAAAAUGUGUGACCAUUUAUUCAGUAAUAAAGGGCGCUAAAUUCCAAGGCCUCUAUGAGCAUAAUAAUCAGCCAACGAACCAUAUUUUGCAUGUGAGCAUUAGGUUGCAGAACACCAAUGAAGGCAACUUUGCUUGAGGGCUGGUUGAAAAAAUCAUUGCCUACCAGUUAUAAUCAAUGUGUGAUAGGAAAAAUAAUAUUCAAAAAUGCAAUAUUCUACUUAAUUCACAGCGUAUAUGCAUUUGCUCAAGCACCUGACGCGCAAGUGCAACCAAGUACUGCUGUAACCAAAUAUUCUACUUCCUGCUACACCUGAAGCAGACGAGGAGAGAAGAGAUAGUCGCACAGUAUCCUUACUAUGAAGCAGCCUAGUUGGUGGCUAUCAUCUUCCGCUACGGCAGCGUCGAUGACCCCGGAGUACUUGGCGGCAACAUCUCGCGACAGCGUCCUCGCCUCAUGCCUCAAUGUGCCACUGCACACCUGCCACGGCAGAUGGAGGCAGCCCCAGUCGCCGUGCAGUAGGUGCGGGGGAGACGCCGAUGAGUAGGGGCCACUCGUCAAGCUGGCCGCGCCGUCCAAUUCUAGCCACUGGAGAUCGAAAUUGAAUAGAAAAAAAAAAUACACGCUAUGGAAUCAAACGGGAAACAAGGAAAAUGAUCACGAAACAAAGACAUUGCAACAAUCUACGGCCAACGUUGUUCUAUAACCUGCACAAAUCAACGGUACUUCCGCGGGAAAUCAAUCAAAAUCAACUGAAAUCAUACGGGAGGAGACUGGAAGGAACCUUGCAAUGGGGGAGAAUAGCUCCUUAAUCCGAAUAAAUCCACGCCGAAGGGGAGGGAUAGGAAGCUGCUGCCAUCGAGGAGCAACGCCUCAAAUGCGAUUCAUGUCCUGGCGAGCGGGAUUGGAAGGGGGAACUGGUGAGGAAAGAAAUUGGAGGCUGCCGUAAGGGACGGGUAGGAACCUGCCGCCGCCGAGCUUCAACUCCGCAAAUGCGUCUCCAAUCUAGGUCAGCUGGUUGGUAGGGUGUACAAACUGCCGACAAGUUUGGACCUCAGCCCCUCACGCUUGUGUGCUAGUGGCGGCAGUUUCGGGGAGACGGGCGGCGCCGAGAAACGGGAUCUAGCGGCGGGGGAGGAACCGGCGCCGAGAACCGGGGUUCACGCGAUGGGUCCUUCCACGGCAGAUUGACGACGAUAACUUGUGUAAGAGCUAAGUAGAACUCACCGCGGUGGAGUUCCUCACUGGCAGCGUCGGAGCGCGAGGAUUUGAGCGGCCGAUGGCAAGAGCAACACCAACACCUAGCGCUGGUGGAGACCUAGCUACGGUAGGCUCCUGCGGUGUACAGCACUGCGUCGACAAGGUGAGGAACCGCGUCGACGGAAGGAUGGGGAGGGCGCGGCUGCGCGGGGACGGAACGGCGGGGCUGGCGGCCGGCGAGCGGUGGCCGGGAGGGAGAGAGUCGUGGCCAGCAGGGAAAGAGUCGGGCAAAGACAGGAACUGCACGGUAUGUGGACCCACGAUCUGAAUUAGUUCGUAACGUGGGAUCGACCGAAGUAAAAAGGUUGAAAAAAUUGGUAGAAAAAACCAGGGACUAGCCGUGGUGCGAGCCGGUUGGAGGGAGGGCCCGGGUACAUAAUAUUAUUCCAGGGUAUUAUAUAUAUAACGAGCGUAAAAUGCAUCUCGUAAGAAAUACACAGAC
rnacentral:lncRNA from 1 species